rnacentral:rRNA from 1 species
ACGAACGCUGGCGGCGUGCUUAACCCAUGCAAGUCGAACGGAAAUGCCCUGCUUUUGUGGGGUGCUCGAGUGGCGAACGGGUGAGUAACACGUGAGUAACCUGCCCUUGACUUUGGGAUAACUUCAGGAAACUGGGGCUAAUACCGGAUAGGAGCUCCUGCUGCAUGGUGGGGGUUGGAAAGUUUCGGCGGUUGGGGAUGGACUCGCGGCUUAUCAGCUUGUUGGUGGGGUAGUGGCUUACCAAGGCUUUGACGGGUAGCCGGCCUGGGAGGGUGACCGGCCACAUUGGGACUGAGAUACGGCCCAGACUCCUACGGGAGGCAGCAGUGGGGAAUAUUGCACAAUGGGCGGAAGCCUGAUGCAGCAACGCCGCGUGUGGGAUGACGGCCUUCGGGUUGUAAACCGCUUUCGCCUGUGACGAAGCGUGAGUGACGGUAAUGGGUAAAGAAGCACCGGCUAACUACGUG